rnacentral:rRNA from 1 species
CCCUUAGAUGUUCUGGGCCGCACGCGUGCUACACUGAUGCAUUCAACGAGUCUAAAACCUGGUCUGAUAGGGCUGGGUAAUCUUUUGAAAGUGCAUCGUGAUUGGGAUAGAUGAUUGCAAUUCUUCAUCUUCAACGAGGAAUGCCUAGUAGACGCAAGUCAUCAGCUUGCAUUGAUUACGUCCCUGCCCUUUGUACACACCGCCCGUCGCUCCUACCGAUUGAAUGAUCCGAUGAAUACCAUGGAUUGAGAGUACGAAUAGGUUCGCUUAUUUCUGCUGCUCGAGAAGUGGAGUAAAUCUUAUCAUUUAGAGGAAGGAGAAGUCGUAACA